GAGUUUGAUCUUGGCUCAGAUUGAACGCUGGCGGCAGGCCUAACACAUGCAAGUCGAGCGGAUGACGGGAGCUUGCUCCUUGAUUCAGCGGCGGACGGGUGAGUAAUGCCUGGGAAUCUGCCUGGUAGUGUGGGACAACGUUUCGAAAGGAACGCUAAUACCGCAUACGCCCUACGGGAGAAAGCAGGGGACCUUCGGGCCUUGCGCUAUCAGAUGAGCCUAGGUCGGAUUAGCUAGUUGGUGGGGUAAUGGCUCACCAAGGCGACGAUCCGUAACUGGUCUGAGAGGAUGAUCAGUCACACUGGAACUGAGACACGGUCCAGACUCCUACGGGAGGCAGCAGUGGGGGAAUAUUGGACAAUGGGCGAAAGCCUGAUCCAGCCAUGCCGCGUGUGUGAAGAAGGUCUUCGGAUUGUAAAGCACUUUAAGUUGGGAGGAAGGGCAGUAAGUUAAUACCUUGCUGUUUUGACGUUACCGACAGAAUAAGCACCGGCUAACUCUGUGCCAGCCG
rnacentral:rRNA from 1 species